rnacentral:tRNA from 2 species
GGCACUUUGGCGGAGUGGUUAACGCGAUGGCCUGCUAAGCCAUUUCCUUCGGGAGCGAGUGUUCGAAUCACUCAGGUGUCG